UUCAAGUUUCAUAAGACGACUGUUGUUGAAACAAUCAUGUCGGUGGAUGGGACUUCAGACCACGGUUUAACGAAUGACUUUAGUUUUAAAAACUAAAAAAUAAUUUUUAUUGACAGCCAAAAAAAACAUAUACAUUAUACCCUAAACCAUGUACACAAAAUUGUCUAUUCUAAAAAAAAAAAAAAAUGUACACUUUUCAUAACUCUUUGUAAAAUUCCUCUACUCCAUAUGAAGGCAAACAAAAUUUGCCCAUUCUUUCCUCACUUCUUUAAUGCCUUCUUUGGGGUAUGGUGCUUGAUCUUUGCCCUUUUCAAAUUGCAAUCAAUAAAAAAUGAUUAUUUAGACUUCAUCAAUGGUUUUGUAAGAUCUGUGACAGAGCGCCUAAAAACGGUCGUGGUAUAUCCACUCAAACGACGGUAAUUCUAUUUACCGUCGUCCACUUACAAAAAC
rnacentral:lncRNA from 1 species